rnacentral:rRNA from 1 species
CGAGCACGCGCGUGUGGCAUAUCAAUAAGCGGAGGAAAAGAAACUAACAAGGAUUCCCUUAGUAACGGCGAGUGAAGCGGGAAGAGCUCAAAUUUGAAAUCUUCAAGGUUCUACCUUGACGAAUUGUAGUUUAUAGAAGUGUUUUCUGUUAGUAGGAGUGGCAAAAGUUCUUCGGAAUAGGACAUCAUAGAGGGUGAGAAUCCCGUAUUUGGUCAUUCUUUCUAGCUUUGUGAUACACUUUCAACGAGUCGGAUUGUUUGGGAAUGCAGUCCAAAAUGGGUGGUAAAUUUCAUCUAAAGCUAAAUAUUGGCGAGAGACCGAUAGCGAACAAGUACCGUGAGGGAAAGAUGAAAAGAACUUUGAAAAGAGAGUUAAACAGUACGUGAAAUUGUCAAAAGGGAAGCGUUUGACACCAGUGUUGUUUUUCCGAAAAUCAAUUACGAAUGUUUUGUUUUUGAAGAAGUUAUGACUUCAUCGGCUUGCUUCUCUUCUUUACGAAACUUUCUUAAUGCACUUUCGGUUAACAAGUCAACAUCAAUUUCUUUUGUUGUAAAAGGGUACGAGGAAGGUGGCUUUCUUUUCGGAGAAAGUGUUUAUAGCCUUGUACCUCUGCAAUCGGAGAGAUUGAGGUCUGCAGCGUAGAUCCUUCGGGGUUAGAUACAUUUGUGCUAAGUUAUAGCUUUUCAUAGACAACUUGUUGACUAUGUUAGUCUUGUAGCUUACUCGCUUAUGCUAUUUUACCUACGCUUAGGAUGUUGAUGUGAUACUGCGAGCA